rnacentral:rRNA from 1 species
AACGAACGCUGGCGGCAUGCCUAACACAUGCAAGUCGAACGAGACCUUCGGGUCUAGUGGCGCACGGGUGCGUAACGCGUGGUAACCUGCCCUUAGGUUCGGAAUAACUCCCCGAAAGGGGUGCUAAUACCGGAUAAUGUCUUCGGACCAAAGAUUUAUCGCCUUUUGAUGGGCCCGCGUUGGAUUAGCUAGUUGGUAGGGUAAAAGCCUACCAAGGCGACGAUCCAUAGCUGGUCUGAGAGGAUGAUCAGCCACACUGGGACUGAGACACGGCCCAGACUCGUAAGGGAGGCAGCAGUGGGGAAUAUUGGACAAUGGGCGAAAGCCUGAUCCAGCAAUGCUGCGUGAGUGAUGAAGGCAUUAGGGUUGUAAAGAUCUUUUACCCGGGAUGAUAAUGACAGUACCGGGUGAAUAAGCUCCGGAUAACUCAGUG